AGAACGAACGCUGGCGGCAUGCCUAAUACAUGCAAGUCGAACGAAGGCUUCGGCCUUAGUGGCGCACGGGUGCGUAACGCGUGGGAAUCUGCCCCUUGGUUCGGAAUAACAGUUGGAAACGACUGCUAAUACCGGAUGAUGACGAAAGUCCAAAGAUUUAUCGCCAAGGGAUGAGCCCGCGUAGGAUUAGCUAGUUGGUGAGGUAAAGGCUCACCAAGGCGACGAUCCUUAGCUGGUCUGAGAGGAUGAUCAGCCACACUGGGACUGAGACACGGCCCAGACUCCUACGGGAGCAGCAGUAGGGAAUAUUGGACAAUGGGCGAAAAGCCUGAUCCAGCAAUGCCGCGUGAGUGAUGAAGGCCGUUAGGGUUGUAAAGCU
rnacentral:rRNA from 1 species